rnacentral:tRNA from 1 species
UAAGAUCCGUAGGAGAUUACCCUACAUCACCUGAAUGCAACCCAGGUACUUUAAUUAAGCUAGAACCUUC